rnacentral:rRNA from 1 species
GACGAACGCUGGCGGCGUGCUUAACACAUGCAAGUCGAACGGUGAAGGGGCCUGCUUUUGUGGGUCCUGGAUGAGUGGCGAACGGGUGAGUAACACGUGAGUAACCUGCCCCCUUCUUCUGGAUAACCGCAUGAAAGUGUGGCUAAUACGGGAUAUUCUGGGUCUGUCGCAUGGUGGGCCUGGGAAAGAUUGCGCCUUUUUUGGUGUUUUUGGUGGGGGAUGGGCUCGCGGCCUAUCAGCUUGUUGGUGGGGUGAUGGCCUACCAAGGCGGUGACGGGUAGCCGGCCUGAGAGGGUGGACGGUCACACUGGGACUGAGACACGGCCCAGACUCCUACGGGAGGCAGCAGUGG